rnacentral:misc_RNA from 1 species
GAAACGGCGAGCCAAAUCUAAUGCAAGUGCAAGAAUUAACCGGCAGCGGAAUAAAGACGCGACGCUGCCAUCUAGCAGGAGCAGCAAACGUGAAAGUGAAAGACCUGAUCGACCGAUUUAUCGCGGAUAUGAACGGGACUGAAACGCAGGCUGGCAUCAAACCCCUUGGCGUAUCGCACGUCUAUUGUCUGCGCAGGCUUCAGCGCGCCAAGUUCGGAGAAAAGGAGGUAGCGCACCUUGCCGACGAUGACAUCAUCGA